GACGUAGGGCGCGAGCGUUGUCCGGAUUUAUUGGGCGUAAAGAGCUCGUAGGCGGCUUGUCGCGUCGACUGUGAAAUCCCGCGGCUCAACCGCGGGUCUGCAGUCGAUACGGGCAGGCUAGAGUUCGGUAGGGGAGACUGGAAUUCCUGUGUAGCGGUGAAAUGCGCAGAUAUCAGGAGGAACACCGAUGGCGAAGGCAGGUCUCUGGGCCGAUACUGACGCUGAGGAGCGAAAGCGUGGGGAGCGAACAGG
rnacentral:rRNA from 1 species